GGGGAGACGAGGUCUAGACAGACCGGGGAGACGAGGUCCAGACAGACCGGGGAGACGAGGUCCAGACAGACGAGGUCCAGACAGACGAGGUCCAGACAGACCGGGGAGACGAGGUCCAGACAGACGAGGU